rnacentral:rRNA from 1 species
UUCAAAUUGAGAGUUUGAUCCUGGCUCAGGACGAACGCUGGCGGCGUGCCUAAUACAUGCAAGUCGAGCGAGCUGAAUUCAAAGAUCCCUUCGGGGUGAUUUGUUGGACGCUAGCGGCGGAUGGGUGAGUAACACGUUGGCAAUCUGCACUAAA